rnacentral:rRNA from 1 species
UGGGGAAUUUUGGACAAUGGGGGAAACCCUGAUCCAGCCAUCCCGCGUGUGCGAUGAAGGCCUUCGGGUUGUAAAGCACUUUUGGCAGGAAAGAAACGUCGCGGGUUAAUACCCCGCGAAACUGACGGUACCUGCAGAAUAAGCACCGGCUAACUACGUGCCAGCAGCCGCGGUAAUACGUAGGGUGCAAGCGUUAAUCGGAAUUACUGGGCGUAAAGCGUGCGCAGGCGGUUCGGAAAGAAAGAUGUGAAGUCCCAGAGCUUAACUUUGGAACUGCAUUUUUUAACUACCGGGCUAGAGUGUGUCAGAGGGAGGUGGAAUUCCGCGUGUAGCAGUGAAAUGCGUAGAUAUGCGGAGGAACACCGAUGGCGAAGGCAGCCUCCUGGGAUAACACUGACGCUCAUGCACGAAAGCGUGGGGAGCAAACAGGAUUAGAUACCCUGGUAGUCCACGCCCUAAACGAUGUCAACUAGCUGUUGGGGGCCUUCGGGCCUUGGUAGCGCAGCUAACGCGUGAAGUUGACCGCCUGGGGAGUACGGUCGCAAGAUUAAAACUUAAAUGAAUU